CCACUGGAGGAGAUAGGUGGACGGAACGGGUGAGUAACGACGGUACGGGUAACCUCGACCCAUAAGGGAGGGGGAUAACACGUACCGGAAACGGUGCUAAUACCGCAUAGUUUUCUUGAUCGCAUGAUCGGGAAAGGAAAGACGGCCUUUGUGCUGUCGCUUAUGGAUGGACCCGCGGCGUAUUAGUUAGUUGGUGAGGUAACGGCUCACCAAGACGAUGAUACGUAGCCGACCUGAGAGGGUGAUCGGCCACAUUGGGACUGAGACACGGCCCAAACUCCUACGGGAGGCAGCAGUAGGGAAUCUUCCGCAAUGGACGAAAGUCUGACGGAGCAACGCCGCGUGAGUGAAAGAAGGUUUUCGGAUCGUAAAACUCUGUUGUCAGAGAAGAACAAGUUGGAGAGUAACUGCUCCAGCCUUGACGGUAUCUGACCAGAAAGCCACGGCUAACUACGUGCCAGCCGCGGC
rnacentral:rRNA from 1 species